CUUCACAACAAGAACAGGGCACUUGGCAUAUUGAACACAAUAAUUGCUCACACUUCCUAGUAAAGCCCUUUUGAUUUUUCCAAGGCCACGUUCUCCUAAAACAAGCAUACUGAUAUUUAGCUUUUGAACUACAUUGCAUAUGGCUGGUUUUGGAUCCCCUUCCUCUGUGAUUAUCUCUGCAUUCACCCCUCGACUAGCACAAAUUUCCUUAGCUUUCUCCAGGAAAGCCAAAGCGAGCUUCUUGUUGUUCUCUUUGACAGAGUUGACAAAAUCCGGAGCUGUUACAGCUGAAACAGAGCAGUACAUGCGAGCAGAGCCGAGGGAAGCAGCAAAAGGGUAGUUUUUGGGAGGGGGCUGGGCCAUAAAGAUAAAAAGGGGUGAUUUUG
rnacentral:misc_RNA from 1 species